CUCCUGGCGUGCCAAGAAGGCCCACGAUGCAAACAGAUGUGACAUGUCAGAACCUGUACAUCAAGCCCAUUUGGAGAGAGAUGCAGAUCACUCUGGCAGUUUUCCCAUAUGGAUGUCUGAGGCACCAGAACUACAGGACACACUGUGGAGCACUCCUAUGCCACACUGUAGAGACUUCAUCUGAAAUGUGCCCAGAAGGUCUGCAUGCUGGAGCUGCAUAGAUGUGAAAUGCGUUGAUUUUGCACUUCUUCGGAGCUUCUUUGGGCUGAUAGAUGCAGUGCACUCUGUGAGAGCAUUUGGUGUUGCUGAAUGCUGUCCCGUGUUGCCGAUUAUGAUGAAAACAAGCCACCAACAACCUGAUUUUGAGAUCCUACACUGCAAGUUAAUGCCAUGUCAAGUCAUUCAGAGUCAUACUAGAACAGGACAUUUGUGAGAAGGAAGACUGGAGCAAAAGGGCAGCAAACCUAGGUUUGAAAGUCCUUUGAGAUGACGUUAGCGCUGGGUGCCCGUCAGCUGCACCGACCGGCCCAGGCCAACUGAGCGCCUUCCACUCCUAAUCGAAGCCGCGCGUGCGCUGCCUCUCAGCGGGGACACCCCGUGCCCUAACGAUGGAGUGAAAACCAGCCGCUUCCCGACGAAAACCCAUUCUUUUCCCAAAUGCAGUCCAUCUGGGGCUUAGGCCGUGCCGGUAGAUGCUCAGCCCUGCCGUGGAUGUUCUCACUGGCUUCAAGCCAGUAUGGGGAAAGGACAAGACAGAACAGAAGAGAAAGAAAAGAAGGAAAAUCUGAAGAAAAACCCAGAACAAAUGCAAAAGAAACACAUGUGGUAUGUAUUUCUUUUUCCCUUCAUUACUUACUAUUUAUUUUUGAGAGGUAUAAGGUAAAGCUGGGACUAGGGAGGAUUUUCAGGCUCAGAUGAGGCUUGCAAACUAGCUCUGAGACAACAAACUUUUCAAACGUCUCUAAGAUCAUGUCAUAUGCAAGUCAAAACUCACAUUGACAGGGAGGGAGGGCAAGCGCUUAGAGCAUGGUACUCAAAGCUAAGUGUGGCCUAAGUUUCCUAAGCAUCUGGAAUAAGUGUCGCUAACUACACAGUGUUGCAGUUCAG
ensembl:lncRNA